GUUGUCUUCCUCUUUAAUUUUUGAACAAACAGAAACGAACCUCUUUCAAUAGCUAUGUCAGUUGGCAUGAAUCACAUGAUAUCAAUCAUGAUAAUGUCAAUAAAGAUUUUUAGGUGCCUAUAUCGGCGGUGUCUACCUCUUCCCAUUCCGAACAGAGCAGUCAAGCCCGCCAGAGCCGAUGGUAUUGCCGUAACAGGUGGGAGAGUAGGUCGGUGCCUUUU
rnacentral:rRNA from 1 species